rnacentral:tRNA from 1 species
GAGGAUUUAGCUCAGUGGUAGAGCACUUGCCUAGCAAGCACAAGGCCCUGGGUUCGGUCCCCAGCUCU